CUCCUAAGCCAAGCUCCCACAGACACGGAGGGAGACUUGCAGCAGUUGUUUGCUGCUGUGUUACGCAAACACUUGGGGUUCAGUGUUUUCAUAAAGAAAAGACUCUUUGACACAUGUAUGAUGCCAUAAUGUGAGCACAGUGGAUCUCACUCAGCAAAUAUUCAGGUACUACCUUUGCUCAGCCUGUCAUUCAGUGAUGAGCCCAUGACAUGAACUCUGACCGCUGAGAAAUGAUGGGUGUCACUUCCAGACACAACCAGUGAAGGGCUUUGUGCAGCUUCCAACCCCUCUCCCUUGCUGUAGUGGCUCUGGAGGCCUAGAAUCCCAGAAGUUACGGGUAAAACGUAUGGGAGGUGUGCCUGACCAACAUCAAUCCUUGUAUGAUUCGUAAAUUACAUUUUACUCUGCCUGGAUACACCACGUCUCUGCAUCGAGCCUCCAUGUCAAACAAUCUGGUGACAAUGUGGCCACUUCAUAGCAACGAAUCCCGAGUCUGUGCAGAAGAGGCUUUGGGGGUCAGUGACCUGGAGCGGAGGCUGCAUAGCCAGGAACAGAACACGCUGCUGUUUCAUGCUAUGUCCCC
rnacentral:lncRNA from 13 species